UGGUGAUAUACUUGGAAGAAGAUCCUGUGCAAACCCUAAUUAAAAAGAAGUCAAAGCUGCACUUGGAAUGACAUCAAGAGAAGAUCUCAAAAGAUCUCAUUAGAUCUUAGAUUGCAUCGAAGAUAAUGAUCAAAUUGCAGAGCAACAUUGAAAGAAGAUCACACCCUCUUCAUGGACAUAUCUGACAUCAACAUAAAUGGUUGUGAAGAAAGGCAAGCCGCAUUUUAUGUACAAACAUAUUUGAUAUGGACAUAUUACUCUCUAUCAAGGAAUCAAAUUAACUUCUUGAUUAAGAAGAAAUACCUUGGAUAUUCAUUCUAUGCAAGAUAGAAGGAUCAUCUGAAGAAUAUAAAAGGAGAAGACUAAAAAUGAUAGACAUUACACAACUUCCCAAGAAAUUCAGUGUCUCUCAUUCUUAGUCGCCAUUAAGCUUUGUGUCUUUAAAGUUUAAAAUAGUUGCAAAAGAAAAAGGUUUAGUCAAAUUAGUCAUACCAGUUGAGGCUAGAUCAUAAGAUUUGAAUAACAAAAUAAUAUUCAGUAAUUGCCUACUACAGUACUCCAACUCGACUUUGC
rnacentral:lncRNA from 1 species